GAACAUUGAUAAGUUGAACGCAUAUUGCACGUCGUGGGAACCUACCAUGAUGUACACAUACCUGAGU
rnacentral:rRNA from 1 species